UCUCCUACGGGACGCAGCAGUGAGGAAUAUUGGUCAAUGGGCGGUAGCCUGAACCAGCCAAGUAGCGUGAAGGAUGAAGGUUCUAUGGAUUGUAAACUUCUUUUAUAAAGGAAUAAAGUGAGGCACGUGUGCCUUUUUGUAUGUACUUUAUGAAUAAGGAUCGGCUAACUCCGUGCCAGCAGCUGCGGUAAUACGGAGGAUGCGAGCGUUAUCCGGAUUUAUUGGGUUUAAAGGGUGCGUAGGCGGAAUGCCAAGUCCGCGGUAAAAUCGCGGGGCUCAACCUCGCUCCGCCGUUGAAACUGGCG
rnacentral:rRNA from 1 species